rnacentral:rRNA from 1 species
AUUGAACGCUGGCGGCAGGCUUAACACAUGCAAGUCGAGCGGGGGAAGGUAGCUUGCUACCGGACCUAGCGGCGGACGGGUGAGUAAUGCUUAGGAAUCUGCCUAUUAGUGGGGGACAACAUCUCGAAAGGGAUGCUAAUACCGCAUACGUCCUACGGGAGAAAGCAGGGGAUCUUCGGACCUUGCGCUACUAGAUGAGCCUAAGUCGGAGUAGCUAGUUGGUGGGGUAAAGGCCUAGCAAGGCGACGAUCUGUAGCGGGUCUGAGAGGGUGCUCGGCCAAACAGGGACUGAGACACGGCCCAGAGACAUACGGGAGGCAGGAGUGGGGCAUAUUGGACAAUGGGGGGAACCCUGAUCCAGCCAUGCCGCGUGUGUGAAGAAGGCCUGAUGGUUGUAAAGCACUGUAAGCGAGGAGGAGGCUACUUGAGUUAGUACCUGGAGAUAGUGGAAGUGACUCGCAGAAUAAGCACCGGCUAACUCUGUGCCAGCCGCCGCCGUAA